GACGAACGCUGGCGGCGUGCUUAACACAUGCAAGUCGAACGGAAAGGCCCUGCUUUUGUGGGGUGCUCGAGUGGCGAACGGGUGAGUAACACGUGAGUAACCUGCCCUUGACUUUGGGAUAACUUCAGGAAACUGGGGCUAAUACCGGAUAGGAGCUCCUGCUGCAUGGUGGGGGUUGGAAAGUUUCGGCGGUUGGGGAUGGACUCGCGGCUUAUCAGCUUGUUGGUGGGGUAGUGGCUUACCAAGGCUUUGACGGGUAGCCGGCCUGAGAGGGUGACCGGCCACAUUGGGACUGAGAUACGGAGCAGACUCCUACGGGAGGCAGCAGUGGGGAAUAUUGCACAAUGGGCGGAAGCCUGAUGCAGAAACGCCGCGUGCGGGAUGACGGCCUUCGGGUUGUAAACCGCUUUCGCCUGUGACGAAGCGUGAGUGACGGUAAUGGGUAAAGAAGCACCGGCUAACUACGUG
rnacentral:rRNA from 1 species